CUCGAGUCUGGCGGUCGUGGGCGCGCACCCGUGGGUUACACGCCCGGCCGCUGAGCGCGCAGGCGCAGGCCCCGCCCUAGCGGGGCGGGGCUGAACCAUCCCUACCCCUCCCCACCGGAACCUCGCCGGGGUGCGGAGCAGGCGGAGAGCCAGCUAGCCUGACUUUGCAGAACCCGCAGGCCGAAGACCGAGGCUGGUCUCUAGCUACUGGCUGUUGGCUGCCCACGUGGCAGUGAAGAACCAUUCCUAGUGGCCAUGUGCCUAGAUCUGAACUCACUGCUUGCCCUUGGUUCUCUGAGGGGUUUUCUUCAUAUUCUCCCAGCUGUUCAAUCAUUCCUAGUUGUGUUUGAAGAAAUAGUACAUUUGCAUGGUUUUUUUUUCUUUUUUUCCUGGUGUUCUAAAAAAAAAAAUACUGCAGGAACUGCAGUCUUUGGAGCUAGAGUUGCAGAAGAAACUGGAAGGAAAUAACAGGGCAUCAAGUUUUUGUUGAUUUUCCCCCUAAGUAUAUGAAAACAAAGCUACUGACUUAGCCAGAUUUUCCAAUAAUGGUGGGAAACAUUCACUAAAUCUUUAUAAGGUUACUUCUCUGGGCAUUUGCAGGGCCAUCAGUUUAUCUGUGCAUAGGUGUAGGGGGUUUCACAGCCCUAUUUUACACGGACAAUAACACUCUAGGAUGUACCUUUUAAUCCCCAUCUUAAAAUGAAGAAACAGGGAUCCAUCCUCAGAAUUUAUAACUUAGUUCAGUGGUGGGAAAUUGUUAGAGAAAUGCCAGGAGUUUGGUCUAGGUCUGGUGGUUCACAGCACAGAAAGCCAGUCACUGAGACCCCAUUAUUGUCAGGGAAGAAGGCAUUAUUUGGGUGCUACAGCCUAGGGGGGAGAGAUCAGUCUCAAAUCCAUCUUCUCAACUGAUUAAAAUUAGGAUAUAGCAGGGAAGAAAUGUAACUGCAUGUGGGAAAAUAGCAGGAGUUAGGGAGAGAUGAAGAGGAGUGGGUCAACAGGCAUCAGGCAAUUGUUGCAGGUGAGGGGUCUGGUGUCUGAUUUUCCAGAUGUGGUGAUCCGAUAAGUUUCAGUUCCUUGGUGCUAUCUGGGAGGACUGAUGGCUAGUUCCCUGAGAAAGGAACUCAGAUAAGACAAAUGUAAAUUUCUCAAGUUUUUAGACUGGGAGGGUCAAUUUGUUUAUUCAAAAGAGACCAGGCCUGGCGCGGUGGCUCACGCCUGUAAUCUCAGCACUUUGGGAGGCUGAGGUGGGUGGAUCAUGAGGUCAGGAGUUCAAGACCAGCCUGGCCAAGAUGGUGAAACCCCAUCUCUACUAAAAAAAAAAAAAAAAAAAAAAAAUACAAAAAUUAGCUGGGUGUGGUGGCAGGCGCCUGUAAUCCCAGCUACUUGGGAGGCUGAAGCAGAGAAUUGCUUGCUUGAACCCCAGAGGCGGAGGUUGCAGCGAGCCGAGAUCAUGCCACUGCACUCCAGCCUGGGCAACAGAGUGACUCCCUCUCAAAAAAAAAAAAAAGGAAAAAAAAAGAGACCAUAAACAUCUGUCCUAUGGGACAAUUGCAUGGUUUCAAAGUGAGUGUUCCUCCUUCCUACUUACAAGGGAAUUGGGAAUAAGGUCAAGUUUCAUUUCUGUGCUGUCCCAUAGGUUGCCACUAUCACAGGUGGCCAUUUAAACAUAAAUUCAAAUUAAGCAAAAUUUGUAAUUCAGUUUUUUAGUUGCACUAGCCACAUCUCCAGUGCUCAAUAUGUGCAUGUGUUAGUGGUCACUGUAUUGGGCAGUACAGAUUUAGGAUAUUUCCAUCCUUGCAGAAAGGUCUGUUGAACACCACUGCUUUAAAUAGAUUGCAAUUACAUUGCAAUUUCAAGGUAGGUUUCCAAUCAGUUGCUUUAAAACAAGUUAAUAAUCAAGGAAAGACCCUUGCUUUUUUUCAACUGAAAUUUUUGUCGAGCUAAUUAUAGAGUCACAUGCAGUUGUAAGAAAUAAUACAGAGAUUCCUUACCCUUUACUCAGUUUCACUCAAUAGUAACAUAUUGCAAAAGUAUAGUACAACAUCACAGUGAAGAUAUUGACAACAAAACAGUCCACCAAUCAUACUCAGAUUUCCCCAGUUUGAUGUGUACUUUGUGUAUGUAUUUAGUCCUAUAUAAUUUUAUCAAAUGUUGGUUUGUGUAUCCACCACUAUAGUUAAAUGAAAAUGUUUCUAUUAGCACAAAGAGCCCUCCUGUUGCACUUUUAUCACCAAACAUACCUCUCUGUUACUCCCCAAACCAACUCUAAUUCAUGGCAACCACUAAUCUGUUCACCAUUUCUACAAGUUUGUUGUUUCAAAAAUGUUACAUAGAUGGAGUCAUACAGUUUGUAGUAUUUUGUUUUUGGUUUUUUUUUUUCCACUCAGGAUAAUUCAGAGCUCUGUUUUGGAUUUUCUUUCCUAUCCCAGUGUGUGCGUGUUGGGUCUGUCAUUGGCUGGGUUCUCUCCACUGCACUAGCUACUGUCUUCUGUAGCUGGUGUGAGUUAGUGUUAGAGUGGAUGGAUUAAAUUUAUUAAGAGGGCCAGUCAGCAAUAGCACAUGGUGUACAGGGAACUUUGGACAGGGUGAGGGUCCUGCUGUUUCAAAAGGCAAAUCCUAUGAGGACUAUGAAUCAUGAGUUUGAGUCUGAUUUAUUUUUUUAGGACUGGAACCAACAUAAGAAUUGACAGGUACAUUAGGCAGGAUGCUCCGGAAAAUAUAUAAAAUAUAUAUUAACAAGAAUUUACUGUAUGAUAAAGGUGGUUUAACAACUAGUGAGGGAAAGAAUUAUUCCAAAAUUAGCACUGGGGAAAGGGCAUAAUGAUUGGAAAGAAAAAAGAUCCCUUACAACAUACACUAAAUAAUUUCCGAAGAGAGAGAAACAGUGAUUUAUAAAUGAAUCCAUAAAACAACUAAAAGAAAACAAAAGUAAAAGUUUUAUUUUCAGUAGGGGAAAAUGCUUUCUUUUAUAAGCAUAAAAAUAGGGGAAGAAUCAUAAAUGUCUGAUGGGUUUGACUAUGGGAAACUUUUUGAAAAUUUGUUUUUGAAAAGCAUAAUUUAAAGCCUGUGAAUUAAGCUCUACUUGGAUGGUUUUGUAUUGUUGUCUCUCUUACAUCUGGGUCUUGAUUCUGGUGGUAUGUGUGAAGAGCCUCCAAUAUGUAGCACCUUGUCUGGAUUCUGAACAAUUUAAGAAAUAAAACAGAAAUUUAAAGAUGGA
rnacentral:lncRNA from 10 species